rnacentral:rRNA from 1 species
AUAGAUACCCGGGUAGUCCACGCCGUAAACGAUGAGUGCUAAGUGUUAGAGGGUUUCCGCCCUUUAGUGCUGCAGCUAACGCAUUAAGCACUCCGCCUGGGGAGUACGGUCGCAAGACUGAAACUCAAAGGAAUUGACGGGGGCCCGCACAAGCGGUGGAGCAUGUGGUUUAAUUCGAAGCAACGCGAAGAACCUUACCAGGUCUUGACAUCCUCUGACAACUCUAGAGAUAGAGCGUUCCCCUUCGGGGGACAGAGUGACAGGUGGUGCAUGGUUGUCGUCAGCUCGUGUCGUGAGAUGUUGGGUUAAGUCCCGCAACGAGCGCAACCCUUGAUCUUAGUUGCCAGCAUUCAGUUGGGCACUCUAAGGUGACUGCCGGUGACAAACCGGAGGAAGGUGGGGAUGACGUCAAAUCAUCAUGCCCCUUAUGACCUGGGCUACACACGUGCUACAAUGGAUGGUACAAAGGGCUGCAAGACCGCGAGGUCAAGCCAAUCCCAUAAAACCCAUUCUCAGUUCGGAUUGUAGG